rnacentral:lncRNA from 1 species
AAAUUUAAGCUUUGAAGUUGGUAUUGUAAUGUAAAAUUUUAAUUUCAAAAUUAUAUUAAACUUUUAAAUUUUGAAUCUACAUUGCAUUUUUAAUCUAAAAGCCAAAUUUUAAUUUUUAAUUUAAAUUAAAAUUUUGAAUUUGAACUGAAAGUUUUAUUUUAAAUUUGUGUUUUAUAUUUAAAAGUUGAAUUUGAUUUAUAAUUAAGUUUUUUAUGUUGCCUUGUAUUUAAAUUUACAGUUUAGUUGUAAUUUGAAUUCCAACUAUUGUUAUAGGUAUUUGAGAAAGUUAUAGUAUUCUUAGGCUUCAUUUGGGAUUGCGGGGAGAUUGUGUUACGUGCGGUCAAAAAGUACGUUAAAAAAAUACCUUGUUUGUUUCCGUACGUAAUAUUACGUUCCGCAUAUCGAGAUGAGUCGGUUAUGAUAUAUUUUCUGCGGUCCCACCGGAGAACGCAGAAAUAUAUCACUAUAUGCGAUAGAUAGGCCUCAAUACCAAACUAAGCCUUCGGCUUCGUUUUUUACUCAACUCCAUUUUAACUAAUAGCAUUAGAUAGGCCUCAAUACCAAACUAAGCCUUAGGCUUCGUUUGGGAUUGCGGAAAAAUUGCGUUACAUGCGGUGAGAAACGACGAUGAAAAAAUACCCUGUUUUCGUACGUAAUAUUGCGUUCCGUAUAUUGCGGUUAAUCGGUUACAAUAUAUUUUCUGCGGUCCCAUCAGAGAACGCAGAAGCAUAUCCCUAUAUGCAUUUUUCUCAACUCCAUUUUAUCUAAUAGCGUUAGAUAGGCCUGAAUAUCAAACUAAGCCUUAUUAGUUGGAUAAAACCAAUUUGGUAGACCAAAAUAUUUUUCUAAGACCAAAAUGCCUUUUAAAUAGAUACCGGGUGAAUGGUACCUAAACCAGAAUAGUAGGUCGCCUUUAGAAUCAUAUUACAUCUCAACCAUCUAUUUAAAAAAAUAAAUGGUCAAAAUUUACAUGGUGUAUUAAAGUAUUACUCAAUAAAUUAAAGCAGAAUAUCAAGCUAUAUGCAAUAGCAUGAUUAGGAUUGUACACAUUUUUUUUGUGUACAGUGCAGGGUAGAAUUAAUCUUAAUAAAAUUAGGUUAAAUUACAGAAAACUCCCUGUCAAAACCUGCUUUUUCACUUCCCCCUGUAAUUUAAAAACCUACACUUUGCCCCUUUGUAAAAUAAAAAAUGUGCACUUCACCCCCUACCGUUAGGGUUCCGUUAUAACAUUUUUUUUAUGCCAAAAAUACCCUUCCGCCCCUCUUUCCUGUUGCUUCGAUGGCUUCCGGGACGGUGCCCUCGCCGGCCUCGCCCUCCUCCACGAGCUCAACCUCCUCUUCGACCGCCCUCUCGACGCCAUCUUCCUCAACUCCAACCGCCUCCGCCGCCGCCGCCCCAUCCCCGCCAACCUCGGCGACUCCCCGAACUCCAUCGCCGUCCUCGCCCACAACAAACUCGGCGGCUGCUUCCCGCCUUCCAUCGGCCGCAUGGCCGACACCCUCAACGAGAUCGUCCUCCUCGACGACGGCCUCGCCGCCUGUGUCCCGCCCGAGGUCGGCCUCCUCCGCCGCGAAUGAGAAGGAUGAGGGAGAAAACGAAAAUGGCGAAGGGCAAAAUGAUCAUUUUGUCACACCAUACCCCUCUGUGAAUAUUUUUUAUUUUACAAGGGGGUAAAGUGUAGGUUUUUAAAUGACAAGGGGGGAAAGUAAAAAAAUGGGUUUUGACAGAGGGGUUUUCUGUAAUUUAGCCAAAAAAUUAUAUCAUGUCUAUGUACAAUAUUUUUAAGAUUGGAUUCAGUACCCAUAUUCCAUCAAUAAUAACUCUUAGUCUGUCAAUAUUACUAUCUUUUUUAUAUCCUUACCUUAAUUAGAUAUGAACUCAGGGACUAAAAUGUAGAGCGCACAGAAAUUAAAAGUAGGCUAAAUUAUAAAAAAUCUACUUACACUUUAGUCCCGUUCUCAAUUAUCCUUUUGUAUUAAAAAUUACAUCAGUUACCAUCAUAAACUUUAUCAUCGUCUCAAAUAGAUCCAAAAAAAAUAAAAAAUUGGCAAAUUAGGCUGAAGAAUUUACUAAAUUGAGUUAUACAUAUCAUAUUAUUCCAUAUCUCAACAUAUAUCUAAUUUACAAUUCAAAUAAUAUAUAAAAAAGUUAGAUAAAGGAGAUUUCCUAUUUUUGCUAAUACUAUCAACAGUGAUAAUUUGUUGAGCAAUUUAUGCAAUUUACAUAAUUUAAUUGCGUUGCUUAAUUAUAGAUAAUUUUAUCUGCAAAUGUCUUUUUAUAAAAUUUUAUAGCUAAAUUCAAGUAAUGACAAAAGCCAAACAAGAAAAAAGAAUCCUGCUUCUUCAAGUAUGGAACACCAAAGCGAAUCGAAAAACGGAGAAAAAUAAGCACAAAAGCAAUUUAUGUUGUUGACGAGCAUGUCUCUCUCAGAAAACCCUAAUCCCUCAAAAUACAACCCAAUCCUUUCGCUCGUAACAAGAAUCCGCGAAAUAAGAAGUAUAAAUACAUGAAAGGGAUAAGUGUCCAUCUAUUCCUCAAAACUUUGAAAAUAUCUAAUUUAUCCCUACUUUUCUUUUGUUUUAAAUAUACCAUUCAUACGUUCCUUAUUAUUCAAAAAUGCUCCCAUAAUUAUCACUCAUUAAGUCAUCUCGACUUAAACAUAAGGUAAAUAUCUAUCAAAAUUAAAAAAAUCAAAAUACGGCUUUUGCCCUUAACUUAAGGACAAAUAAGAAAAAUUAGUGAUGGUAGAAUGAUAUAUUUAAAAGACAAAAAAAUUAAAAUACUUUUUUUGCCCCCAACUUAAGGACAAAUAAAAAAAAUUGGUAAUGGCAUAAUGAUAUAUUUAGAAGGGCAAAAUAGUAAUUUUAUACAAAUAAUAACGGUUGCUAACAGUUUACUAAUAAAAUUUAACUUUAGGGGUAUGUUUGAAAUAACUUGGAACGUUAAAAGAGUACUUAUAAUAUCAGCCUUCUAAAAUAGAUAAAUCAGAAAGUUUGAAACUUUUCAGAGAUAUAUAAGUAAUUGCCCCUACACGAAAAAGUUACCCUCAUUUUUACCCUCCCUCUCACUCUUUAGUAUUGAACAAGGUAAAACAUAUUAACAAUUCAACACAAACAAGAUCUGUUUGAUUAAGAAAAAAAGAAAAGGGGGAAAAUUAAAUAGAAAAGGGAAAUUUUUAAAAAUAGUAUAUAUAAACUUUCAAAAAGCCCUUUUUUCCCCACAUUAUCUCAUACAUGCAUGUAUUACCACAAACUAUGUGCCCUAACACUAGCUUAAGCUUUAGCCAGAUAAUUGUACUGUUGAGGAAACUAUUUUACAUUUUUUUUUUCCUAUUUAAGUCGAAAUUUCUAACCAAAAUGUGUGAAGAAGGAUUGCCCAUGUCUCAUGAAGUUGUAAUUCAGCUCGCCCGGUUUCGCGGUCUUUUGCCUGUGGAGAACAUUAAUCAUACAGGGAAAAAAAAAAAUAAAAGUUUAGAUACAUUUAGAGAAAAAUCCAAGCAUUAGUUGUAACACCCAAAAAAUUCAAGCAAAAAGGUGUCGAAAGUAGAAAACAUUCUCAAAGACUUUUUGAGAAUCUGAACAAGAUUUUGAGGUCAAUUUGAACAAAAUUGAGUCAAAUUGACACUUUGAAUAUGAACUAGAAGUCAAUUAACUGAGUUAAAUAUCAUGUUUAAAUAUGUGAGUCGUUUUAUAAACAUAUAAUUACACAAGUAUGCUCAAUAUUGAUGCCAGGCAUACUUAAGCUCUACAGCAGUUGCAUCCCUGAUCCUCGAGAUGCUUCCGCUAUCGGGACGCUGCAUUAGUCGUAAUCUUUACAAGAUUGCUGUAAGGGAAAAGUAUGCCUGACCCUCCUGGACUUUGGCCCAACUAGAUUUAGUCACUCAGAACUUUAUAUACUAGAAAGAACUAUGUGAACUUUUAACUAGUUUCAAUUAAGAAAAACUAACGAAAUUUUGGGGGUUGAUGUUUGUGUAAUUUUUCUUUACUUUUUCGAAGUUCGGGCAGCUAAAUGUAAUCGAGUAAUUCCACCGGUCCAGCACGCUUUUCCCAUUGCAAAAUUAAAAAGCCAAAAAUUCUCAGAUAAGUAGAGUGUAUUCAUACCACAUCUGAUCUUCUAACAUUUCUUCAGUGAAACCAAAUGCUCUAAGCUCCUCGACGGUAUGAUGCACAAGGAGGCUGUACCUGUAAUCAUAGUAAAAGGAUCACUAUGUAGGAUUAACACAUGUACUUCCUUUUCAACUUAAUUUAUCCAUCCUUAACUUGCAGAUCAGUUUCCUACACUAAUCAAGUGUCUAAUGAAACUAAACAAAUCAAAAAGACUAAGAAUAAGAACGAAAUAAAAAUGUUAAAGACCUGAAGAGAUCAGAACAUUAAAAACUACAUACACAGUUUAGCAUGUUUGCACUGAACUUAACUAACCUGUAGUUACUGUUCCCUUACUACUAAUCUAUUGUUAAUGGAAAAUGUCGCGGUAUAACCAUAAGAUAGUUAAUUGCAACACAUGAAGCUGCAGGGAAACGAGGUGCAGCAUGUGAAGUUCAGAAAGAACUUCGUAAAAGCCAACGAGUGCUGAAGCAGAGCAGAAAAGGGACUGUCUCUGCUAGGAUUAGUGCUUUCAGAUUGAAUGUGCAAUCAACAGCAUAUUAAUAGACCAACCAAGAAGUCUCAUGUGAAUAUUUAUCAUAUUAUCAAAGCCCCAGUAGUAUACAUGGAUAAGUAAGUCGACUCCUUUCGGAGGAACUUACGAUGCUUACACAUGAAAUGCACAAACAAAUUCACAGAAAAUUACAUGUUUCCAACUCCAACGACGAGGAGAAAAGACUAACUGCUGUUAAUGAAAUGCUAGCUGUUAUAUUUAGGGAGAGUUAUCUGCAAUAUGGCCAAAAAUAUGAGAACCAAAGUGCAAUAAAAUCGUCAAAUCCAUAUAAAGCAGGAAAUGGUUACCUGCCGCCAUUCCCUGUUUGCAUAACCAACAUUCCACCAUUAUCGAAAUUAUUCAACCCCUCGAACUGCUCCACGGUCCACUUGUACCACCUCAUCAAGAAAACUCUUAGCGUCAAUCCAUGCGAUACGAGAACGAUGUUCAUGUUCGGUGAUCUUUUGCCAGGUGGCUGAAACCGACCUAUAUCAAUAUCUGCUUUAAGGGUCUCCCUAAAGCCUGUAGCAGUAACACUGCAUAAAUAUGAAGCUAUACCUCUUAGAGGAACAGGUCAAGUGUGUUAGAGAACGAAUACGACUAUCGUGCACGCUAGGAUAGCCCGUGGUUUAUUAAAAAGCUUAUUACCUGUUAUUCGGUCGUAUACGUCAGCAGCCGAUUCUCCAUUUGGAAAACGGUAGAAAAAACGACCAUAUCGCUGGCGGGUUUCUUUCUCGACUCGCAUCUUCUCCCUGUCUUGAAAAUUUCCUAUAUCACAUACAGGGGCAGAGAGCAGAACUCUUAGUAAGAGAGCCGUGAAGAGUAACAGAUUAUCUGAAAAAGUCAUUAGGCUUUCUGUAAUGGAAUACUUCUUAAACAUUAGCAGAUCUUCUCAGAAUCUACAGGAAUACAUGCCCUCGCAUUAAUGCUGCACUGCUAUGCUGCGCACUCGUGUGAUCAAUGUGCCGCACAAUGACUACAGCAAUAAAUCACCAAUUUAAUGCAUUUUAGUAGAUAUAAGCCGAUUAGUUACAACAUGUCGGCUACUAAAUAGCAAGGAUUUAAGUGUCACGUCAUAGGAUCGUGCCGAAAAUUUGCUGGCACGAUACGCCGCAGUGAGUGCCAUGCUAUGCCAAUGUGUUUCAGUCUUAAAAAAAACCCAUAUAUCAAAGCAUAAUGGCAUGAAAUAUUUAUUAUUUUUGGCACUAGUAUAUUAUAUUUGCUUAUUAUAUAUAUUUAUCAAAUCUUUUGAACUUUAUUGAAGUAACUACUUGCUAAUUUUAAAGAAAAUAGGGCUGAGCCGUGUCAUUGGAACAAGGAUCGUAUCGUACCGAUACCUUGUCUGUUGGGACUUAGGAUCGUCCUGCAUGUUCUAUCAACAAAAAUACACGAACAAAGAAAUAGGAAAAAAUAAUAGAAAGAAAAUAUACAGAAAAAAAGAGACAGCGAUUUACGUGGUUCGGCAAGUGGCCUACGUCCACGGGGAGAGCGAGAGAGAUGUAUCCUUUAUAUGAAGAAAACAAAAAUACAAGCCCACACCUUUAUGUUUCUCUCAAUCUAAUACAAGAGCCUUAUGGUUACUACCACCCUUCUCUUGUUACAACAAAUAAGAGAAACUCAACAAGCUACUAAUUAAGUUUCUAGACUUCUCCUAAUACCUCACUUAAUUCACUCGUUGCUUGUGCUUCAUCUUGUUGUCUAAAUCUGUGGAGUGAGAAGCCUUAUAUAGCCAUACAAGUAGUUGCACAAUGGAAGUUGGCAACUUCAAUUGUCAACUCCUUAAUUAGCCUAUCUAUAGGCUUUUUGACAAUUGGGUAAACUUGUGUUUCAUGCAUGCAUGCAUGAAACACAGGCAUGCAUGCAUGAAACACAGGCAUAUAUACUUCUCUGCCCAAUGAAAGUCUUGUAUUCAUACUUUGAAUAGUUCGGUAGACCCUGUGCGCCAUAAAUCAACUUUCAUAUUUAUGUCUCUUUUGCAUAUUAGUCCAAAAAACCUUAUGGGCCAAACAAAUAAUUUUAUGCCCUAUACAAAAGAAGACAUAUAACCAACAUUGUCGGCAUAGUGGAUACGGUCGAUGCCACCGGGCACUUAAAUAUGCAAGGUGACACCCUCAACAAUAUCCUCUUCAAUCAAUUCAAUUUAAGUUCAGUCAUAUGAAGUCGAGAUUUCAUUAAAAUUAAUGACUUUACUAGCUAUACAGUAUGAAGCUCGAAUCCAUUGAAUUUAACAAAAUUGCUACUAAGACCAUGUUCGGAAUCGUCGAAAUCACCGUCUUAGACGGAAAUUUCAAAUCAGAAUUCAUUAAAAAUCCUUUGCUUGAAAACAGUUUGUUUGGUAUGAUAUCAGUAAGUAUAAGCAUAUUCAACGGCAUGAGGUUGGAUUUUUCAUAAUUUGCAUUUCUCACACAUCAAAAAAAAAAAAAAANAACAGUUUGUUUGGUAUGAUAUCAGUAAGUAUAAGCAUAUUCAACGGCAUGAGGUUGGAUUUUUCAUAAUUUGCAUUUCUCACACAUCAAAAAAAGAAAAAAAAAAGAAUUCUUAUCUCCAACCCCUUUAUGAGCUAUGUGACCAAGUACGAAACUCGAACCAAUCCAAUCCCAUCCAUUCCAAACAAGAGAAUUCCGCAACAAACCAAGUUACUUGAAUUAACGGAAUUACAAAUCAGUGCAAUCCAAUCAAGAUUUGAACUUAAGCCCUUUUUGGACGUCAGAAUAAGAGCGUUUAUUUUUUGCAUUUAGCCCCCUUAAACAAUUUUACUUUACGAAUAAUCUUAUAAAAAUUAAAAAUGCAGAAAUGAACCUAUAUUGUGCACAUAGGCAUCAUGCAAAAUAUUUUAAGUGAACACGGUGAUUCAUGCACUGUGUUUAGAAUAGUGUAUGGAGAAGAAGAGACAUUGAUUCAAUUUCUAGAAGUACAUUAUACAUUUGACUAAACGCAAUAAACAAAUCAUGGCGUUCUAAACACGGCGAGUGAAUCACCAUGUUCACUAAAAAUAUUUUGCAUGGCGCCUACAAGCACACUAUAGUGUCAUUUCUGCAUUCAUAAUUUUGAUAGAAUUAUCUGCAAAAAGAAUAUUUUUGAGGGGGCUAAAUGCAAAAUAAGCUCCGGGAUGAAUUAAUUUUCCUCCUUGAAAGACCUUGACAUCUAUUAACUUGGUAGGAAAACAUAUUUUACCUACGAAAUGACUUAUCUUACUCCGAAAAGGCCGAGUUUGGAUGCAUGAAUAUCUUGUUUGGUAUAUCUCCAUGAUUUAUUUAGCAGAGGCGGAGUGCGAUCAAACGUCUAAAAUUAGAUACUAUAUUCAGCCUUCAAGUCAUUUUUUCGAAUAAGAUAAAUCACCUAGUAGUAAGUGAAAUAUGCUAUUCUAUUAAAUCAUGAUGAUAUCAAGACCUUUCAAUGGGCAAAAAUCAAACUCGUUUCUAGAAAAUCCUUAUAGCGAAUGAGUUAUCCGCAGACUUUCAAACAGGGCCAGAAAUGAUUUGAAGGCUGAGUAUGGUAUAUCAUUCUAUACAUUUGACCGCGCUCCUGGUUUCCAAUUACAUUAGAAAAUCCUCGUACCGAAUAGGAUACCACAGGAUGACUUAUUCCGACAUCCAAACAAUUACAAUGAAAAUUCCUCGUAGUGAAUAGGAUGCCACAGGAUGACUUAUUCUGACAUCCAAACAAUUACAGUAAAAAAAUUUUAUAUCAAAUAUGAUAUUACUGUAUGACUUAUUUCGACAUUCAAACAAUUACAAUUACAGUAAAAAAUUCUUAUAUCAAAUAGGAUAUUACCGAAUGACUUAUUCCGACGUCCAAACAGAGUAGGGUCUCAAUCAAUUUGUUUAUGUUUUGUGACUUGAAAAUUUAGAACAUAUGAACUAGAAUUGGGGGAAAGGGGNCCGAUGCCGCAGAGCGUCUCGAGCGUGCGGCGGUAGGGGGAGACGUAGAAGUAGACCCUCCAAUCGUCGCCGGCGCCGCCGCUCUCGACGAGGCGGCGGAUGCGGCGGCCGCACUCGUCGGCGUCGCGCCAGCCCUGGGCCGUGAGCCCGAUGCGCGGGUCCGGGACGCGCGCGUACGCCGCCUCGUCGACGUUCCCCUCGCUCUGCCCGUGCCGCACCAGCACGAUCCGCCGCGGCCUCGGCGGCGCCGGCGCCAUCGCCGCCGCCGCCGCCGAGAGCGCCGCCGCCGAUCGCUCCAGCAGCUGCAACUCCGCGGCGACGGCGGCGGCGGAGAGCGGGGGUCGGCGGCGGCGGAGGCCGAGGGUGUCUUCGCAGCAGCGGAGGCGGAGGCGGAGGCGGGGGCGAGAGGAGGAGGGGAGAGGAGGAGACGAGGCUAAGGAAACCAUGAAUGUAAUAAUGCAAUGCAAAUACAAUUUUCUAUUGCGUAGAAGAAACUACUGUUCAUUUUUUUUUUUUUUUUAUUGGAAAAUUGGGGAAAAGAGAGGGGGGGGGGGGUUGGCGAAUGGUGAGUACGUGUGCGAUUGCGCGGGCGCGUGUGGUUGUGUGGUUGCGGGGUUGUGGGAGUGGAGAUCCUAUCGACACCUGGAAUAGCUGACAAACAUCGCCACGUUGCGAGCUACGUUCUACUGCAGGUGUGAAUCUUACUUUUCUAAAUGUAAGAAUUGACACCAAAAAAAAAAAAAAAAAAAAAAAACCUUACUGUUGCUAGAGCAAGUGGCAAAAGAUUUAAUUGUUGGUAUUCAAGCUCCCAAGUUCGAAUUCUAAUUCAUUCACAUUUCUAACUAUAUUUAUUUUUAAAUAAAAUAAACGAAGUGAAUAGCGUGCUACCUACCUCUCAAAAUAAGAAUUGAGCAAAAAAAAAAAAAUUUAACUAGAUUUUUUAGUAAAAACAAUUUUAAUAUGAUAAGUUAAAAAAAAAAAAAAAAAAAAUUAAUUUCGUACAGAUCCUGCCAAGUAUAGUGAAUUACAAAUAUAUUUAUACAAAGUUCAACUUUCAUAUAUUGUUUCUACAAAAGUCCUAAUAUUUUCAAAUAUGUUCUUCUGGUUUGCAACUGUUAAAGAACUGUUUAUUUUACAAGUAAAAUGGCCUUUUUGUCAUCACAAAUAUGUCUCUCGAAAAGUUCCAACUGUUAAUUAAAGAGAGAUAAAAAUGUCAAUUCAGCUCAUUAACUAAUUAGGGUUAAGUAUUUUACCUAUGAUUGGUUAACUAAUUUUUAAUAACGGACUUUAACAGUAGAGACAUAUUUGAAAACGUCAGGACUUUUGCAAAGACAAUAUAUAAAAGUUGAAAUUUGUAAAAGUAUAUUUAUAAUUUACUAUAUUAGUAUGAAUCUAAAUGAAAUUAAUCCUAAAAAAAAUAUAAAUCAAUAUAAGCAUACAGAUGUAAACCUUAUAUCCAACUUGUACGGCUAAUGUUGCUCAGAGUACAAAGUAAAUUACUCUUUCAGUCCUAAAACUAUAAAAGGAGAAUGACAUUUUAGUCUUUAAAUUUUAAAUUUGACUAAAUUACAGAAAUUUUCGUGUAAAUAUUUAUUUUUUUUCUCUUUUCUAACUUUUUAAAAAAUUUGUAUUUUAUUUUUUCAAAAUUUCAAGUUGUUGCAUUUAGUCCCACUCCGUCAGAAUUUAAUUCACUAUUUCGUUCAUGUCUUAUAAUUUAUACCGAAAAUAUUCUUCAAAAUCAUAAAAAAAAUAUAUUAAAAAAUUAUUUUUUUCUCUUAUAGAAGAAAUAAGAAAAAUGAAAUCACAUGGUACUAGCUUGAUACACUUUAAACUAUAGGAUAUUAAAGUGAGAAACUGUAAAACCACAAAGGGUAUUUGAAGUUUAUCCUAAAAUCUAUAAUGGGGGAGGGAGAGAGAGAAAAAAAAGGGCUAAAUUGCAGAAAAUCCUACUAUCAAAAUUUGAUUUUUCACUUUCCCCUCCUAUUAUUUAAAAACCUACACUUUACCCCCUUAUAAAAUAAAAAAUGUUCACUUGGGUAUGAUGUGAACUGUAGUGACAAAAUGAUCAUUUUGCUCCUCACCAUUUUGCCCCUCACCAUAUUCACAGGAGAGAAGGUUAAGGAUAUUUUUGGCAUAAAAAAUAUAUAAUAAUAUUUUAUAAACGGAACCCUAACGAAUUACUAACGGCAGGGGCAAAUUGAAUAUUUUUCAUUUUAUAAGGAGGUAAAGUGUAGAUUUUUAAAUGACAGAAAGAAAAAGUGAAAAAUCGAAUUUUGAUGUGGGGUUUUAUGUAAUUUAGCCAAAAAAAAAAAAAACAAAAAAAACAAAAGCUGGUGUCCACGUGGCGCCGGCUCACUGCAGCACCACCGAAAACGACGAGAUGUCCGGCUGCUUUUUCGCUUUCCUUCCUGAGCCAGCUGGCGCAUGGCCAUGGCCGCCUCCUCCGCCUCCUCCUCCUCCCCACUCCUCUUCCAUUUCGCCCCGGUCCGGUUCGCCGCCGCUCCGGUCCACCUCCCGGUCCGGUUCACCCCCCCGAACCGCCCCUCCUCUGCCGCCGCCGGCGCCGCCGCUCGCCGGAACCCUAUCCGGCCGGUGUCCUCCUCCGCCGCCGCCGCCGGCGCCUUCGCUACUCCGCUCAUCUCCCCCCACGACCAAUGGGGCACGUGGGCCGCCGCCUUCGCCGCCGCCGCCUUCGGGAUAUGGUCCUCCUUUUCCCCUCUCCCCCAAAUUUGUCAAAAAUGUCUAGAAUGCAUAAUUAUAUUGCUGACGUGGCAUUCACAAUCACUGGAAUUGUCCCCUUUGAAUGAGAUAUACGAUUGACUUAUUACUGAUGAUGUGGUGCAAGUAUAAUAUCGUAGACUUUCUCAAUUUGUGUAGAGCAGGUCUUAUUGCAGUCAAACUACAUCGUCUAUAAUUAGGCACUCGCUAAGCAAGUAUGGAGAAUUUGAAUUCACACAUUGUCCUUAAAAAAGGGGUCUAUGUGGAUCGUAAGCACUAACCAACUAUUACAAAAAUAUGUGCUAAUAAAAACGGUGCAUCCAUCGCACUUAAGGGCUCAACUACAGUGUUCGCAAAUUUCGACCUGAUUCAACACACCUGACCUUUUAAGUCUAUUAUUGAGCCUGUUGGCAUUAGGUUUAUUGUAGAUCGAAACCUCACUCAACUUAUUAGUCUUUUGGGUGUGUUAUUAUGGAUAGAAAAUUGAACAUAUUUUAGCCAAUAUAGAUAGCUAACAACCUACAGUGAAAUUUGUCAUGUUUGAAUGUUUUCUUAGGAUUUUCUAAGCUUCUUAAUUGAGCAGCACUUAUGAAUGAGCACUUUUUUGUCAUUCAGAAAAAUGAUUUAAAAUUAGCUCUUGGCUCUGUUAAUAACACCAUCCUUCUUUUCUGGGGUUUCUGAGUAGGUCGGAGAGGACCAAGCUGGGGAGCACAUUGAGUGGCGCGCUGGUGAGCACGCUGGUGGGCCUGGCAGCCAGCAGUGCUGGGAUCAUCCCCGCCGACGCUCCGGCAUACGGAGUGGUGUUGGAGUAUUUGCUGCUGUUGGCCGUACCGUUGCUCCUCUUCAAUGCCGACCUUCGCCGGGUGGUCCGGUCCACCGGAGCCAUGCUCUUGGCCUUUCUGAUCGGAUCGGGUAAAACUUUCGAUAGGGUACUAUGCAUGGAUGGUCGCAAACACUAGUGUCUAUUUGGUUCUACUUCUGCUUUUAGCUGUUGUACUAGUUACAUCCUGUAGAGUAAUUUAAAAUCGCAAAAGCUUAGAGCUUCUACUUUGGUGAAUGGUAGAAGACUAAAAGCAUCAUUUUUAUACUAUAUAAAAGGUUCAAAAAUUUUACAAGCGCUUUUAAUCUUUCCUUUAUUUACACUAUAAAAUUGCGGUUGCAACCGCCGCGGGAGAAGAUUGUUGGCUUUUUAUUAUUGACUAAAAUUGGUCUAACUUUCUGCCCCAUCAUAAUAGGCCUAGGAGAGUAAGGCUUUGUUUGGGAUUGCAGGGAGAUUGCGUUACGUGUGGUGAGAAAGUACGAUGGAAAAAUACCCUGCUUCUUUUCGUACGUAAUAUUGCAUUCCGUAUAUCGCGAUGAGUCGGUUAUGAUAUAUUUUCUGCAGUCUCAUCAUAGAACGCAGAAGCAUAUUCGUAUAUACUUUUAUCCCAACUUCAUUUUAUCUAAUUAUGUUAGAUGGGUCUCAAAACCAAACUAAGUCUAAUAAGUUAGAGUUGGGUGAGCUAAUAAGUUGAACGGAGUUGCAAUCCAUAAUAGAUAUAACUGCAAUAGGCCCAAUAAUAGACCUAACGUUUAGGUGGAUUAAGUCCGGUCGAAGCCAUGGCUGUAGUUGAGCCCUUACGUUCGACGGAUGCGCCCUUCCUAUUAGCAUGUAUUUUGGGGACGGUUGAUUAGUGCUUAAGAUCCAUAAACAUGUGGCUAUAUGCUUCUCCAAUGACGAUUGCGACCGCAAUUUUAAAGCAUAGAGGAAGGAAUAAUCGUAAGCACUUUUAGACUUUUUGGAUAUUUUAGAGUAUAAAAAUGGUACUUUUAGCCACCGCAUUACCAAACUAGAUCUCAAUGCUAGUAGCAAUACGAAUAAAUAUUAUGUCAAUAGAGUAAGUUCUUCUUUCAGUUGUGCCCUUAAAACGAAGCUAGGGCCGCGAUGCGAAUGCUUGUGAGUGAAUUAAGUCACAUACUAGCUGGUAUGAAGCAAGUCAUUUUGCAGGAUCAACCCCUAACCUCGGAAGCCAUUCACGGUACUUUAUGAAACAACACUACUUACAACAAGGCCAAAUAAAGAAAAAAAGAAUGAAUGAAAUAGAAUAGUUAAUCUUAAGUGGUUUAUGAGAAAACACGCAGAACGAAUUAAGAAAGAUUACAGAGGCUGUAACUGAGCUCUAUUCCAUUAGCUUUUCAUUGAGCAUGUGAGUUUUCAAUGAUUUAGCAGGAACUCUUUGAGAUGGCAAUUGAUUACUUAUUUUCCGCAUUUUAUGUUAGUUUUCAAUGAUUUCCCUUCGUUUCAAGCAUUUUAUGUUGAUCACAAAUUUUUGGAGUUCUAUUUCAUCAAUGUCCGAAAUUUGAUCCUUCAUAUGACAGUUGCAACGAUAAUUGGCACGGUCGUCGCGUAUUUAUUGAUACCGAUGAGAUCGCUAGGACAAGACAGUUGGAAGAUUGCAGCAGCACUCAUGAGUAGUUACAUCGGAGGAAGUAAGAUCAAAAGUUUUCUGUUAUUAUUGUCGGAUUGUUGGCGCUAACCAUUAAUUCCAAAAGCUCGAGCUGUUAGAAAUACGCAACCAAUUCACUUAUACAUACUUGAAUAUUGAAGAUUGAAGAUUGAAUUGAUUGCCUGUAAAAUAAAAGAUCAAACAUCAAAAAAUUUGGUUCUAUUCACAUCAUUCUUUCCAGAAAAUCUGUACAAGGCAUUCCUACUUUCAGACAAAUUAACUGAAACUGACUUCAGACUCUUGUUGCUGACCGGAAUUUACUGAAAUUUUAGACCUGAAAUGUGUUGAUUUUGGUUAGAACAUUUAUCCGAGCGAGUAGGAUUGUAUUCAUUCACUGACUAUGCUGUAAAUAUGCCACAUUUUGGUGAUCUCAAAUCGACUAAUUCGGUUGCAUCCUCUUUCUUUUUUUUAUUCUAGCCGUCAAUUUCGUUGCCGUCUCAGAAGCUCUUGGCGUUUCUCCAUCAGUUUUAGCGGCAGGGGUGGCUGUCGACAACGUCAUCUGCGCGGUAUAUUUCACAUUACUUUUUGCUUUAGCAUCUAAAGUACCACCAGAAGCUACAACUUCCACUGCAGGUGUGUUUUCCCUGCUCAAUUUCCGUCGUGUUUCAACAGUUAGGAUCAAAAAUGAUUCUGUCGCAUUACUUCGUAUCGCAGAAGUCGUGAACUUGUAAUAUGAUAGAUGCUAUGAACACUUGAGCAGGUGUUCAACUGGAUUCUGAAUCUAAGAGAGAAAACAAGUUACCUGUACUAGAAAGCGCUACGGCGAUCGCUGUAUCCUUCGCAAUCUGCAAAGUAGCUGCAUAUAUAACUAAUAAGUUGGGCACUCAGGGAGGGAUUCUCCCCUGCGUUACGGCUAUUGUGGUCGCCAUGGCGACCUUGUUUCCUUCACAGAUUGGAGCCCUCGCCCCUGCCGGUGAGGCCAUGGCUUUGAUUCUUAUGCAGGUAAAGAUUCCUCUCGUCACCGACUUAUUCUCUGCGCAUGUCCAUGCACGCACACAUACACAAUCAAACGAAAGGCGCACGUAUGCAGAUGCAUCACACUCGUACUGCACGAGUACAUAUGCACACAAUCGAGCAUACGUGCGCAAACACCAAUGCGCGGAUGCACACACAUUACGAACUGCAAAAGCGGAAAGCAUAAUGUCUACAUCGGAAUCGCAAAGUGAUUUUAGUUAACUUAUAUUUGCUCAUGUGUAACGUAACAGGUGUUCUUCGCGGUGGUGGGAGCAAACGGUAGCAUUUCAAACGCGCUCACGACGGCGCCGAGCAUCUUCUUAUUCGCGUCGGUGCAAGUGCUGGUCCAUCUUCUAGUGAUCCUAGGAGUCGGACGGCUCCUUCGGUUCGAUCUCAAGUUACUUCUCAUAGCUUCAAAUGCCAACAUCGGCGGCCCGACAACAGCUUGUGCAAUGGCGACCGCGAAAGGCUGGAGUUCCAUGAUCAUUCCCGGUAUCCUCGCAGGCAUCUUCGGAAUCGCCAUCGCGACGUUUCUGGGAAUAGGCUUUGGAUUGUUCGUUCUGAGACAUAUUUAAUGGUUUGCGAGUUUGGUUGCAAAUAGAAAUUUUGUGCAUUCCUAUUGACAUAUCAUCUUGCAAUGUAAUGCCAUAGCUUAUUUGUGCAUAAAACUUACACUGUCUAAUCAGUAUUCGAGAUACCUACCAACUGUGCUAUAGGAUAAUCUUCAAACGAACAUGUAAUGUUGAUGUCUAACUUGCGUAAAAGUAUAAGAUUUUGUUUUUCUUUUUCGCUUUGUUUCAACUUGAAAUUACUAUAUUACCCUUGAAUUGCUAUGUCACCAUCUAUGCUACAGUAGUUGGUUGGUAUGGGAGGGUCCUGAUCAAGAGGUCGGAGGUUCGAUCCUCUGCUCGCGCUUUCAGAAAAAGAGUGAUUUAAUUUAAACUCCAGUGUAUUGGAAAAAUAAAAUGGCUUAAUUAUAUUCUACUACACUGUACACUGUAUUUUAAGUUUAUUUUUAUUUUUCUACCUUAUACUAUUUUCUGUUCCCAUAGAUAUCACUAAAUUAUAUUUUCUCUCCAAUUUCUACAAUACUUUUAACAAAUCUCUUAUCUUAGACAAAAUCUAAUUUUUUAUUAAAAAAACACCGGUUAAAUGGUUAAAAAAAAUAAAAUAAUUCUCUGCAAUAGGCUCAUUAAAAGUUUCUAUUAAACUAUUUUUAAUUAUUUUUUAUGUCAAAAUGAGUUGAAUAUAUACCCUACUACUUUUAACCAGCAUUUCUAAUAACUUUUAUGUAAAAUUACAUGCUUAUUGCUUAUAGUCUAAAAAUCCAAAAAAAAAAAAAAGAAUAGUUAAGCUGGUGCUCUGCAGAAAUAAAACAAAAAACAAUAGUUCAAUAUGUAAGUGAAAAAACAAAAAAAAAAAAAACAAAAAACCCUGUAGAUUACAAUGUAGUAUAAUGUAAUUUAACCAAAUAAAAUAUGUGAAUACUCUGUAGGUUUCUUGGGUGGACCUCCAUGUUCACCCACACCCAGAAACAAAAAAAAAAAAAAAAAAAAAAAAGAAAAAAAAGGAAGAGAGAGAGAGAGAGAGAGCUCAAACUUGCUAUGAGAGAAAAAUAAAUAAUGUUCAAUUAUCCUUUUUACAAGGUUUUACAUCUCAGCUCCUCUCAAACACAACUCUUCCAGGUAAUGCCCAAAGCCAACAACAUUAGCAAUCCAAACAAAAAAAAUACUCCCCCCCCCUCAUAAAUAUCAUCUUAAGAACAAAAUUAAUACAAAAACAAGAAAAUUAAGCACCAUCACCAACAUGAGAGAAAAUUGAUUCUGCUCCUGGGAAUGGUUUGUCGAAGGAAGCCCCGAAAAGAGCAUCGCAGCGUUCGAUUCGCUGUAUCUCGUUCGUGCUUAUCCGUCGUAACCCUGUUAGUCCCACAUAGAAAGAUUAUUGAGAAAAUAAAUGAACAUAUGUCGAACCAGCUCGCCGGUAUUAAUAACUUUGAGCUUCAGCAUUUCUGAACUUACAUUUUUUUACUCAUUCUGUUCAAGUCAUUAAUACUUGGUUUGAUUAGUACUAAAAACACUACUCACACAAAUCACAGAGCUGAUGAAUCUCGGAAUUCGUGCUUUGUUCCGAUUUGUGCUUGUUCGAUGAGAUUCUGCUCCUCGGGUGUUUCUUCUUCAUCUUCGGAUUCUUCAUAAUCGGAGUCUUCUGGGGACCCUACGAUACUAUUUGGCGGCUUGUCGCCGGCAUUAAUGAGAUUUUUGAACCACGUACCAGCGAAAAGUGGGUCCGGGCUAUUUGAAUUGCUAGGGUUCUCUUCUGUCACUGGUGUAGUGUUUGAGGAUGAACCAGUGAAGAAUCUGUAGGCCACCUUGCCGGCAUUUAGAAUUUCUUCUUUGGCUUGUCUAAACUGCACUCAAAAUAGAGAAAACAGAAAAGGAUUUAUAUGAGUAGCUAGCUCAACUAAAUUGAAGCAGAAAUUUUCAAAUACAUGAUGCGUGAAGCAUAAUGUGUAAUAAAUUUGUUCCUUGGAUGCCUAAAAAUGGAUCAAUUUUCUGAAAAUUUUGAGCUGGAAGUAUGUAAGACCAAGAAUUUAAGUGCCGUGGCACGGGAUCGUGCCAGAAACUUGCCGGCACGGUACGGCACAGUGCGUGCCGAUGCGUGCCAGUCAAAAAAAUUUCCGGUCAAAAUAAUUCUUGUGUGUCAACACAUAAUAGCAUAAAAUAUUUAUUUUAUUUAGCAACAAAAUAUUCUAACUAUUUAUUAUGUCUUUUUAUCACAUCUUUUAAACUUUAUUAAGAAAAUUACUUACUAAUUUAAAGAAUAGAGGGUUUUGAACUGUGCCAUCGGCACGGGGUCUGUAUCGUGCUGGUAUCUUGUUGGCACAGUACGACACGGUGAAUACCGCCCGUGCCGACGGGCGCUUAAAACCUUGUGUAAGACUUUCAAUAUUUAUGAGUAAAAAAUCAAAAAGAAAAAAGCGUCUUCUCUAUCAGCUUAAGCUUUUGGAACACCACUUUUUUUUUUUCAUGGUAUUAGAACAGCGGGUCCGCUUAGUUCAAACUCAAAAGUCCCGGCCUCUUAAAAGAUUCAAAACUCAAAAAUGAGAGGGGGGAUGCUUAGUAUUAACAUAGUAAGAUAUCUAUCAACAGCAUUUGAUGAAAUCUGUUGUAUCACGUAGCAACUGAUGUAUAAUUGGCACCAAGGUCGGUGUCAUGAGCAUAUAGUGGGACAUGAAUAUCUGUUACUGAAUUUUUUUCCAAGAGCCUAUGUUAUUGACGACUCAAUCUCCAUUACACGAUCAAUUAUAUCUAUGUGAAAAUUCCAGUUCACAAACUGCGUAGUAUAGAAGCUAAUUAUGAUACAGCAGAAAACAGAAAAAAGGGAAGGGUGUGCCAAAAUAAUUCAGAAAUCAAAGAAGCUGAAUUUCAAACCAACCUUUGUCGCUGUAGUUUCCGCCACCUCCAUUGCCGCAUCACCAGCAUUGGCAAACCGAUUAACCCAACCUGUGAUGUCGCAACACCUGACGUUAUAAACAGUAAAACAAUUUCCCAGCAGCAUAGAAUACACUUUUAUCUAACUAACAAAUAUAAGAGAACAGCGAAAAUACCAAACGGGAAUAGAAAUGAAUCACCUUUCACGGUUACACUAUAGUAAUAAGUGCUCAUCUAAUCACAAACUCUGCGACUUCAAAAGCAUACUCUAAUAGUACAAGAUAGGUGGCAGCAAAUAACUUUUCUAAUAGGAACUUCAACAAUGGUAAACUGAUCAAGACAGGAGAAUAUAUACAGGGCAUGUAGUUUCUUCCCAAAUCAUCUGACGCAGUUCCGUAGAUCGAUUUUCAAUUUAUAAUUGUAUUUUGUCUACACGAUAAGCACUCAUUGCACCCAUUCACUUCAUAUAUCCAGCCUUAAAUUAUCUAUCCUACACUCCCCUUUGUACUCCCACUGUUUUUGGCUACUCGACCCAAAGUAUUGAAAAUGCUACAUUUCUUGGCAAUCGAUAUUUACGAAAAUACAUCUUUUCUCCCACUCCUAAUACCGCCCUAGAUAUCUUUGGUCUUCGUCCUACUUAAAGCCUCCAGCUUUGUCAUUACUGUUUGAACUUUAGAUUACUGCAUUACAUAAAUCUUUCAAAAGAAAAAAACAAUAACAAUGGCAUAAAAUAGGUCAAAGGAAGCUUCUGCUCCAUCCAUAGUCCAGACCUUGUAAAGCAGUUGUCACAAAGAAAGAUAGGGAAACAUAUUCAUUAGCUAAAGAAAAUUCAAAUUAGUUAAGGGCCCAUUAGACAAAUAAACAGUAAAAAAAAGAGGCACUUAAAGCAUUAUCUUCAAGCAAAAAUUACUUUACAAAAACGAAAGGAGAAUAUGCAUUACCUGGAAGCUUAGGCACAUCAAGCCUCUCGCAGAAAGCAUCACAGAAAUGAUUGCAGUUUCUAGAUAGAAGGUCGUACGAGUUCCCAGGCCAUUCUCUGCUAAGUUCUCUCAAUAUUUGAUUUACCGUGAAAAUGGAACAGCUUGUGUUGCCAAGUACGAUGGACUCACGAAAGGUAUACAUAGGAUUCUCUCUCAGUGGACAACUGAAAACUCCACUACCAUAGUCGCAGUAUCCAAAGGACCAUUCUUCAUCUCCGUAGACCUGCCAAUACAGAUUAACGAGAUAUGUACUAAAAGUAAUUAAACUUGGAAUAUUACUGCAUGGUAAAGUAAAAAACUUCAUAAUUCAUGAACAAUUCAAUAAGGACACCGCUUGAGAACGUAGAUAAUAGAAAUUAACAGUUGAAAGUAUACAGAUUUAAACAGUUUUAGAUGAAUUUUCAACAGCAGUAGUCAAGAUUAUACAGUUGAAUAAGCUACACAGCAUGACAAGAUGAAAAAUAAGUUAAGACAAUACAAAGGCAAAUACAAAACACUGAUAUGAAAGGUCUUCAAUUGUGGCCAUAGCACAAGUAUUCAGCCUUUUUACCAAUGCUGUAUAUACCUUUGUCUGCAUGAGUGUCUUCAGUUGUUUUGCCUUAGUUGAGAAUUGAGAUGUUUCAUGACUCUCUAUGGUUUUUUAGUGUUUUCCCAUAUGGCCAUAUACCACUGUGAAAUCUACGAACAACAGAAUCAACUUCCUCCCACAGAAGACUUGUUAAAUUUGUUAACGCUUCUCUUACCAACUUUUAGAGCCUCUAAAUGCAAUCAUUACAAUCACUUCCAUAGAGAAGUUCAUUUCAUAACUUGUUUCUAGCAAAUUGUUACAAGUUGCAGUAUGAUUAGCUUUCCCAUCAAUGGUCAACCCUGAUAACCAACUUGCAUGCCAACCGAUUUUCUUCUCAACAUUAUCAUUUACUACGUAUCUCCAAAAGAAAAAGGCACAGCGAGUUCUUUCCAUAUAACCUAAUGAUUAGCAGUAGAAAUCAGCAUGAUAAUAGAGUAAAUAAAUGAGAGACAAAUUUGCAAGAACAUACAUCAAGAUUUCCAUGUGACACCCCAAUAGUCCCACGUCACAUGGAGCAGGGAUAAUAAUUGGGUAUGUAAGGACUACGGACUCUACUACUGAUAACUCAGUUUAAACAUUUUGGGCAAGUGGUUUGGGCCUAGCGAGUUAUUAGUGCUACCGAGAUAGGCCGUCACAUUUGAAGGCUAAAAAAAGACCAUACUGGUGCACAAAACUGCUACCGUAGCAGGGUCUAUGGAGGGCAAAAUUCAUGCAGUCUCAUCCCCACUACCGGAAAGGUUGUUGAUGUGGACCAAAUCUGCUUUAGAAGACACUGGAAAACCUUAGCAACACAAGUGUACUGCAUUGAUCUGCAAAUUUCACGAUAAAGUAACAGAAUUUGUACACUGCAUUGAUCUUGGGCUCUACCCAUAACAGCAAACAAAUAUCUCAUUUUCCUCAACCACUAACAAAAUUUCCCAUCACAAUAUGUCCCAAACUUCGACUUUAUUUGCCCUUAAAAACGCACAAAAAGAACUAGGUAUGUAGAAAUCGGCCCCAACUCAUCUCAAAUUUCACUGUACACAAGUGAAAUUUGAUGAAAUUCCCUAUCUGUGGCCCUAUUAAAUCUAUACUAUAUUGAUCUGAAUUCAUUUCAACCAAAAAUCAUACAUUUUUCCAAUUCCAACCACAUAUCCUUCCAAAAAAAUCCAAUUAAUUGCUCUUAAAACACGCAGAAUGAAGCGAGAAUACACCAAUCGGCUCUAACCCAUCACGAAUAUUACGGAAAAAACUGGAAUUUAAUGAAGAGAACCAAUUUUUGGACCUAUUUCGGGACAAUUACUAUACUGCAUUGAUCUGUGUUUCACCAAAACAGCACAACGAAACCCUCAUUUGAACCAAAAAUCGCGUAAUUCUCAUCACAAAGCGUCCCAAAAUUCCACUAAUCGCCCUAAAACAAACGCACAAAUCCGCUACAACCAAUCUCAAAUCGUGCAACAAAAGAACCAAAAAAAAAAAAAAAAAAAAAUUAAAAUNGAUCACGUCGAUCCCAGCUUCAACGUCGGCGCCCCCAUCUCCGCAUGCGCUCCCCAAUACUCCCCUCCGACGACGAACGUCGUCCUCUACCCUCCUCUGGAUUACCCACCGCCGCCGGAGAUUUAUCCUCCUCCUCCUCCUCCUCCUCCUCCCCCCACCCCCCCUCUCUCUCUCUCUCUACACCGCUACUACUCAAUGAUUCGUCUCUCUCUCCCUCUCUAGGUCUUAGGGUUUCCUCUCCGAGGACGAAGAAGAAGAAGAGGGGCUCUCUCUCGCUCUCUGUGUGUGUGUCGAAGAAACCCCAAAACUACGAUACCGUUACGGCGUUACCACGGGGAGUUUGGGGGAGGGCGGAGUUGCGAUUCCGCUCCGCUCCGUUCCGUUCCGUUAUGUUCCAUUGGUGGACUUUUUUCUAAAAUAACCUUUAGAAAAUUUUUAAUUCGCCAAAAAUCCUUUCAAAAUGUUAUUUGGCUAGACAAAAAAUUAAAAAGCUGUGAAUUAUUUCUCAUUUUAAGAUUAUUAGCGUUGCAUAUUGUAUUUGAUUUGUUAGAAUUUUUAUGUAGUCGUUAAAAUUUCACACCGAAAAUAAAAAUUACCGGUGAAUCGUUUAUCACUUUUUUAAAAAAAAAUGACAGUAAAUAAUUUACUGUCUUUCAAAUUUUAUUAAACUCAAACCCUUUAAAAAAUUAAUUACAAAAAAAAAGUAAUUGACGAAUAAGUUUAAAUGAAUUUUCUAGGACCUUAUUGGAAACAUUUUAAUUUCUUUCUCUUAAGAAAGCUCCAAACUAGGGUUGAGUUUAAAAUUUUGUAUAGAUUGCAGAGAUAGUACGUAACACAUGACAAAAAUACAUUUUAAAAGAAUAUUUUAUGUAUUUUUAUAAAUCAUAUAUAUAAUGUAUUCUACAAAUCGUGCUAAUUAGCAAGGCUAGCAAUCCAGCUCAUUGUUUGCGAGCCAGCUCGCAUUUAGCUCCAAAUGAGUUCUACAUCAAUUACUCGUUUAAUAAAUAAGUCGAACACGAAUUAGAGACAGCGGACUUGUGUUUAGCUCGAUAUUAAAAAUUUCUCCUAUUUGGAUUUUAGGUCAACCCAAAUAUAAAGAGACUUUUAUUUUGUGAACUCAAUUAUUAGAUUAAAUUAAAUUUCUAAUUUUCUAAUUCUUUUUCAACUUUUCACCUAGUAGUAUGUUUAAACAAUCUACCUUACUAUUCGCAAGCUAUCGCAUAUUCUGCUCAUUAAUAAACAAGUCGAACAUGAGCUUGAUUUUUUUGCUCGAUAUUUUAAUGCGACGGUUCGUAUUUCGCACAUUUAAUAAACAAGCAAACAUGAGCCUGUGAGACCCCAAAUAGUCCUAUAUAUGAGGUAUAAUAGGGCUACACUCUUAACUCGGCUUAAGUAUUUUGGGUGGUAGCUAGACCCAAGAGGUUAAGAGAGUUAAGUGUGCUAGGACGGGAGUAGUUCUAGGAUGAGUGACCCCCUGAAAAGUCGGGCGUCACAGAGCCUGUUCUAGUCUGCUCGUGUUCGAUUCAUUGACGGCCCUACUGGUUAGGCUAAAAAAUGACAUUUAUAAUCCCACCUAAAAAAAAUAGAAAAAUAUAUUUCUAUGUACUUACGGCUCAAUAAUAUUGGCACGGGUCGGGCUAUAAACCCGAGUAGCAGUGGGCCAAGCUGGGCCUCCUUUUGGGCUUACAUUAAGGAGCCAAUUCUAGGCCCAGUACACCGCUAAAUUUUCGAUGCUAUUUUAGGUCAAUAACUAAUAUAAAAUGACCUUGGUCGGGUCAGGUCGGGUCAGGUCGGGUCGGGUCAAAUGUUGAGAAUAUCGAAUUAGGUCGAGUCAUCCUAAGAAAUCGAAAAUCCAAACUCGCUCUAAAACUCUUAUUGGGUCUCUUUUAGUAUCAACUCAAACUGAUCAGACGAGUCGAAUUUAAUCUGCACUCUUUCGGUGUGUAAUUUUCUAGCACAGUGUGGGUAAACUUCAGUGCAUUCCUUCUAAAUUCAUAAAUAUGACUAAGUGUGCACUGCCACAUUUAUUAUCUUUACUAGUGAAGAGACCCGCGCUUCGCAGCGGACGGAAACUAUAAAAGCUACCAAUAAAAAAUAAAAAGUAUCCAUCAAUAAAAAAAAGAAAAAUAAAACUUAUCACAAAAACAAUUAGAUAUAGAUAUAUAUAUAUAUAAUUUUAAUUUUAAUAAUAAUUAAUAAUAAGGAUGAUGUAAUAAGAAUAGUAAUAAAAGAAUUAUUUUUCAUUCUCAAAGUGAAACAACUAAUUGAAAAUGAUCUUUCUUCGAUACUGAAUAUUAUCGGAAUCUAAUUCAAAACUUGCAAAACAAUAAUUGAUAAAUAAUUUUAGAGAAAAAGAAAAUCAUAUUCAAAUGGAACAACAACUUGUAUUGAGAUGAUUUAAUGGUCUUCAAAUUGACUAUUAAAUCUUGUUCUCCAAAGAAGUAAAAAUUUUUCAUGUAAAAGGAGGCAUUAAGACAGUUCGAAAAACUAAAAAACAAAAAAAAAUCAAAAAACGAAAUAAUUAUUUUAAUAAAAAAUUUCAUAUCAUAAAACAUCUAAAUAAUAUAUAUAUAUACCUGCGCGCUUAUCAUCUUGAACUUUCUUAGUAACUCCAGGCUGUUUAUCGAUAUCAGGAUGGUACUGAAAAAAUAAAAAAUAAAAAUCAAUACAAUUGUGCAAAUCCAACAUGAAAGAAUGUACAGAUUAUAUUAUUAAACAUGCUGAAGAAUUCUAUAGAUAAAUAAAAGUAGAGAAUUGAUUAAUCUGUAUUAAAAAAGGCAAGAUGGUAAAGAAAAUGGCAAUGAAGAAGCAGGAGAAGAAACCACAACUUAUGGUGAAGAGAAAUGGUUGCAUGCCGGAAAAAUAAAUUGUCAUAUGAAAAAGAGAAACGGUCGCAUGGAAAAGAUAACUUUCAUAUGGAAAAGAGAAACGGUCACAUUGGAAAGAUAAAAUAUCAUAUGAAAUUAUGGCGAAGAGAAACGGUUGCAUGGCCGGAAAAAUAAAUUGUCAUAUGGAAAGAGAAAUGGUCGCAUGGAGAAGAUAACUUACAUAUGGGAAAGAGAAACAGUCACAUUGGAAAGAUAAAAUGUCAUAUAAAAUAGAAAAACGGUUGAAGAAAGAGGAGAGGUCGAUUCAAAGAGAGCAAAAGAUAAAAUGUCAUAUGAAAAAGAGAAACGGUUGAAGGAAGAGGACAAGUUGGUUCAAAGAGAGCAAAAAAAUAUAAAAAAUUAAAAAAAAAAAAGAG